UCCGGCCGGUGGUGCCGCACCGGCUUCCCGCAGACGUGUAACGGACGGUGGGCCGCAGCCAUGGCCGAGAGGAAAUCUAACGGUGGCAGUGGCGGCGCCUCUACCUCCUCGUUGAGCACUAACUUACUCUUCUCCUCCUCGGCCACGGAGCUCAGCUUUAACGUGCCCUUCAUCCCAGUCACCCAAGCUGUCGCGGCCCCGGCCUCCCUGCUCUUGCCCGGAGAGGAUUCCACAGAUGUGGGUGAGGAGGACAGCUUCCUCGGUCAGACUUCUGUUCACACAUCCACCCCACAGACAUUUAGUUACUUCUCUCAGGUAUCAAGCAGUAGUGAUCCUUUUGGGAAUAUUGGACAGUCACCCUUAACAACUGCAGCAACAUCGGUUGGACAAUCUGCAUUCUCCAAUUCCCCGACUGCUCUCCCUUUUACAACUGGAUCCCAAGAUGUGUUGAAUGCAUUUCCACCAUCUGUAUCGAAGCCUCCAUAUGGUGCUCCACCUUCCCCACAGAUGGGAAUGAAUACUUACCUGCCUUCUCAGCCAAGUAGUCUCCCUCCUUCAAAUUUUGGGAGCCCAUCCCAAGGAACUCCCCAAGGGUACAAUCCAUAUCGCCAUACCCCUGUCAGCAGCAGGGCUAAUCCAUAUAUUGCACCACCACAGCUGCAACMGUGCCAAACACCAGGCCAUCCCUCUCACCCUCCACCCUCUGGACCCCCUAUGCAGAUGUACCAGACGCCUCCAGGAUCUUUGCCACCGAUUCCUCCUUCAGUGCAGUCACCAACACAGCAGCAGGUACUUGCUAGACCUGUGGGUCCCUCUGUGCCAGGGCCGCCACCUUUUGUACUUCAAAAUCAAUAUGAACCUGUUCAACCCCACUGGUUUUACUGCAAGGAGGUAGAAUAUAAGCAACUAUGGAUGCCUUUCAGUGUGUUUGACUCUUCAAAUCUUGAAGAAAUUUAUAAUUCUGUCCAGCCAGAUCCUGAGAAUGUGAUCCUAGGUACAGAUGGAGGGCGCUAUGAUGUUUACCUCUAUGACCGAAUGAGAAAAGCCGUGUACUGGGAGGAGGAGCCUGCUGAAGUGAGACGCUGUACUUGGUUUUACAAGGGGGACACAGAUAGCAGAUUUGUUCCCUAUACAGAGGAGUUCAGUGAAAAACUAGAGGCAGAAUAUAAAAAAGCUGUAACCACAAAUCAGUGGCACCGCAGAUUAGAGUUUCCAAGUGGAGAGACCAUUGUUAUGCACAAUCCAAAGGUUAUUGUUCAGUUCCAGCCUUCUUCAGUGCCCGACGAGUGGGGGACCACACAGGAUGGACAGACAAGGCCCAGGGUUGUAAAACGUGGGAUUGACGACAACCUUGAUGAGAUUCCUGAUGGGGAAAUGCCUCAGAUUGACCAUUUGGUAUUCAUGGUGCAUGGUAUUGGACCUGUGUGUGACUUGCGCUUUAGAAGCAUUGUUGAAUGUGUGGAUGAUUUUAGGGUGGUUUCUCUCAAAUUGCUGCAGACACAUUUCAAGAAAUCUUUAGAUGAGGGGAAAGUCAGCCGAGUGGAGUUCCUCCCAGUUCACUGGCACAGUGCCUUGGGUGGGGAUGCAACAGGUGUUGACAGGAAUAUCAAGAAAAUCACUUUGCCAAGUAUUGGUCGUUUUCGUCACUUUACCAAUGAGACCUUGCUAGAUAUUUUAUUUUAUAAUAGCCCCACCUACUGUCAAACAAUUGUGGAGAAAGUGGGAGUGGAAAUAAAUCGUCUCUAUGCACUCUUCAUGAGUCGGAAUCCAGACUUCAAAGGAAGAGUCUCUGUUGCUGGUCACAGUUUAGGUUCUUUAAUAUUGUUUGAUAUCCUAUCUAAUCAAAAAGAUUUGAAUUUCUCCAAGUCUCCGGGACCUCCUGCUGUUGCUAAUGGAGUUGUGAAGCAGCCCCAUUUUCAGGACAAGCAGAUGCACGAAGAGUCAAAGCUGGCUUUGGAUGAUUCAUGUGACCUUGAUGUUGAAAAUGAAGAAGUCCUAACUUUGCAAGAAACUCUGGAAGCACUUAGCCUCUCUGAAUAUGUUAAUACUUUUGAGAAGGAAAAGAUUGAUAUGGAAUCUCUGCUUAUGUGUACAGUUGAUGACCUGAAGGAAAUGGGAAUACCCCUUGGACCCAGGAAGAAGAUAGCUAACUUUGUAAAACUUAAAGCAGCCAGAUUGGAACAGAAAAAAGCAGCAUCAGAAAAGAAGGCAAUGAUGGCUGCUUCGACAAAAGGACAAGAUGAAAGUGCUCAGAAAGCUAAAGAAGUGGCUUCUGUCCCUUCAGAAUCUAGUGAAUCUAAGAGGAAGCUUCCAGUUGGUGCUUACGUUUCUUCUGUGCACAUUGAUUAUGAGUCUUUUGAAGUUGGCACUGGACAGGUUUCUGUUAUUUACAGCUCAUUAGACUUUGAGCCAGAGAUUUUCUUUGCUUUGGGAUCUCCAGUUGGUAUGUUUCUUACCAUCCGAGGAGUGGACAAGAUAGAUGAAAACUACAGGCUUCCUACUUGUAAAGGAUUCUUCAAUAUUUAUCAUCCUCUUGAUCCAGUGGCAUAUAGAUUAGAACCUAUGAUUGUUCCAGAUUUGGAUCUAAAAGCAGUCCUCAUCCCACAUCACAAAGGCAGAAAAAGACUUCAUUUGGAGUUGAAAGAAAGUCUCUCUCGAAUGGGAUCUGAUUUGAAGCAGGGUUUUAUUAGCUCUCUGAAAAGUGCUUGGCAGACACUUAAUGAGUUUGCCCGUGCUCAUACCUCUUCAACUCAGUUGCAAGAAGAAUUGGAGAAAGUUGCCCAUCAAAUCAAAGAGGAAGAAGAAAAGCAAGUAGUUGAAGCAGAAAAGAUUGUUGAAAGUCCAGAUUUUUCCAAGGAUGAAGACUACUUAGGAAAAGUUGGAAUGUUAAAYGGAGGCCGCCGAAUCGAUUACGUUCUUCAAGAAAAGCCAAUAGAGAGUUUUAAUGAAUAUCUUUUCGCUCUUCAGAGUCAUUUGUGCUAUUGGGAAUCCGAAGAUACUGCUCUCCUACUACUUAAAGAAAUUUAUCGAACAAUGAACAUUAGUCCAGAGCAGCCCCAGCAUUGAUCGGACUUCUAUUUUACUGGCCUUGAGAUGUAAGAAAUACAGAAAAGAGCUGGGUGUGGUGAAAGUCCCAGGGAAAAUCACCUUGCUGAAAGAACUCUCCAUGGAUGUUCCCAGUCUGCUCCUGUGAUGGAAGAUUGAAAAGCGAUGCGUCAACAGUUGUUCACACAUGACUCUCAGGUGUGGGCUUCAUUCAGAAGGCAACACAUGGAGCGAAAAGGCAAUGACAAAAUCUACUGCAUUUGGACAGUAUGGAUGAGAAAAUGUAAUUAUAAAAAUAAUGCAAUGAAAAAUUCCUCAGAUUUGUUUAGUUGUAUAGUUGUCCAAGUUAAGUGUGAGUUAAAUGAAGAAAUAUUUGUAGCAUGCAAAUGGUUAUUUCUGUUUCUGAAAAACCACCAUCAAUGGGCUAUUAAACUUACAUUUUUCUUUUUA